rnacentral:rRNA from 1 species
GACGAACGCUGGCGGCGUGCCUAACACAUGCAAGUCGAACGGACUUAAUUUUGAGCUUGCUUAACAUUAAGUUAGUGGCGGACUGGUGAGUAACGCGCGAGUAACCUGCCUCUGGGUGUGGAAUAACGUUUCGAAAGGAACGCUAAUACCGCAUAAUAUAGCGAGGUCGCAUGAUUUUGCUAUCAAAGAUUUAUCGCCUAGAGAUGGACUCGUGUCUGAUUAGUUUGUUGGUUAGGUAAUGGCUCACCAAGACUGCGAUCAGUAGCCGGACUGAGAGGUUGAACGGCCACAUUGGGACUGAGAUACGGCCCAGACUCCUACGGGGGGCAGCAGUGGGGAAUAUUAGUCAAUGGGGGAAACCCCGAACUAGCAACGCCGCGUGAAGGAUGAAGGUCUUCGGAUUGUAAACUUUUGUCUUUGGGGAAGAUAAUGACGGUACCCAAGGAGGAAGCCACGGCUAACUACGUGCCAGCAGCCGCAGUAAUAC